UGAAACCAGCUGUCUUGCAGAAGAGCAGAAGGGCAGCAGAGAAAUGCGGAUCGUUUACCUCUUCGUGGAGAAACCACUUUACAUUUUGAUUUUCAUCAUCAGUGGAGUCAUGGCAGCUGGUGACUCCAUCACCUCUCAAGAGGCAGAUCUCUCUGGGAAUGAAGGGGACUCAGUGACUCUGAGCUGCUCUUAUGAUUCCAGCAGUAACUACAUUUAUCUCUUCUGGUACCGUCAGUCUUCAGACCAGCCACUUCAAUACAUACUGCAAAAAGGAGCCCGUUCUAAUAGUGGUACUAACACUGCAAACUUCGCUAAAAGACGUUUUAGUUCUGCUGCAGAAAGAUACUUCACCACACUCACCAUCACAGGUCUUACCCUGGGAGACGCAGCCAUCUAUUACUGUGCUCUGUGGGAAGCACAGUGUCACAGAGACAUAGAGAGGCUGAACGAAAACUCCUUCCUUAAAAACUGGCUGCGUUUCAAUGGGUUUUGGAAGAUGAAAGUGGAUUCUAAGUUAUUUUGUCAAGUUACAAACUGCCACAAUACUGUGGUUAGAUUGCUGCUGUGA